rnacentral:rRNA from 1 species
GACGAACGCUGGCGGCGUGCCUAACACAUGCAAGUCAACUUGACUGAAGGAGCAAUCUGACAGUAGAGUGGCGCAAGGGUGCGUAACGCGUAAGUAACUUGCCCAAGGUAAGGAAUAACGUCGAGAAAUCGGCGCUAAUACCUCAUAAUGCAGCGGAUCCGCAUGGAUAUGUUGUUAAAGGUUUACCGCCUUGGGAUAGGCUUGCGUCUGAUUAGUUAGUUGGUGUGGUAACGGCACACCAAGGCUACGAUCAGUAACUGGUCUGAGAGGAUGAUCAGUCACACUGGAACUGAGACACGGUCCAGACUCCUACGGGAGGCAGCAGUGAGGAAUAUUGGGCAAUGCUCGAAAGAGUGACCCAGCAACGCCGCGUGGAGGAUGAAGGUAUUCUAUAUCGUAAACUCCUGUGAGAGCAGACGAAAGACAGAUUAUAAUCUGGAUGACUGUAUGCUCAGAGGAAGCCCCGGCUAACUACGUG